CAGUCGCCACGGUAAGACGAACCGUGCGAACGUUAUUCGGAAUCACUGGGCUUAAAGCGCGUGUAGGCGGCCCGGCACGUCGACUGCUGAGAUCCCCCGGCUCAACCGGGGAAGGGGCAUCGAUACGGCCGGGCUGGAGGGGGGUAGGGGGCGCCGGAACUUCCGGUGGAGCGGUGAAAUGCGUUGAGAUCGGAAGGAACGCCCGUGGCGAAAGCGGGCGCCUGGACCCCGCCUGACGCUGAGACGCGAAAGCCAGGGGAGCGAACGGGAUUAGAUACCCGAGUAGUCCCUGUCUCUUAUU
rnacentral:rRNA from 1 species